rnacentral:rRNA from 1 species
AUUGAACGCUGGCGGCAGGCCUAACACAUGCAAGUCGAGCGGCAGCGGGAAAGUAGCUUGCUACUUUUGCCGGCGAGCGGCGGACGGGUGAGUAAUGCCUGGGAAAUUGCCCAGUCGAGGGGGAUAACAGUUGGAAACGACUGCUAAUACCGCAUACGCCCUACGGGGGAAAGCAGGGGACCUUCGGGCCUUGCGCGAUUGGUUAUGCCCAGGUGGGAUUAGCUAGUUGGUGAGGUAAUGGCUCACCAAGGCGACGAUCCCUAGCUGGUCUGAGAGGAUGGUCAGCCACACUGGAACUGAGACACGGUCCAGACUCCUACGGGAGGCAGCAGUGGGGAAUAUUGCACAAUGGGGGAAACCCUGAUGCAGCCAUGCCGCGUGUGUGAAGAAGGCCUUCGGGUUGUAAAGCACUUUCAGCGAGGAGGAAAGGUUGAUGCCUAAUACGUAUCAACUGUGACGUUACUCGCAGAAGAAGCACCGGCUAACUCCGUGCCAGCAGCCGCAGUAA